CAUAUCAAGAUGAUCUCACAGGCUCAGCUCAUCUGGCUGUUAGUGCUCUGGAUUCAGGGCUCCAGUGGGCAGACUGUGAUGACUCAGACUCCAGAAUCCCUGGCAGUGUCUCCUGGAGACACAGCCACUAUCCGCUGCAAAGCCAGUUCCAGCGUCACCAUUGGUAGUAUUCACUUACUAGGCUGGUACCAACAGAAAUCAGGGCAAGCACCGAAGCUCCUUAUCUAUGGUGCUUCCACGCGUGCCACUGGGAUCCCAGACCGGUUCACAGGCAGUGGGUCUGGAACCGAUUUCACUCUCACAAUCAGCAACGUUCAAGCUGAAGAUGCUGGAGAUUAUUAUUGUCAGCAAUACCGUAGCUCACCUCUCACAUGCUAUGCUCCGACAAAUGACAGUGAUGAAGAAGUAAAGGACAAAUUCUACCUUACAUUACAGGCGGAGUUAGAGAAAGUACGACGACAAGACGUAACUACCAUCAUGGGAGACCUGAAUGCCAAGUUCG